AGUGUGCAAUCCAUUCCCCACAGGCACACUCUCAAAUCCCAUUUUAAUCCCUUCGUUUUAUUAACACUGGAGCCCCCGCAUCUGGCACUGAGGGAUGGAGAACCUUCCGGACUGGGGUCCAGUUUAAUUCUCUGAAAAAGAUCAGACCCUGUGACUCUUCUCACAAGAGCUACCAGAGGCUUGGAGCUACUGGAACAGCUCUCCAGCUGCUUGUUCUGUACUCCUAGCAACAAUUCCUUUUUCAGAAACCUCUGAGGAGAAAGGUGAAAGCCUUGAGAAGAGCACUGAAAAAAUGGUUGAGGCCUACUUAGUCCUACAAAACAAGAUUCUCAUAGGCACAGUUGUUGUCCUCAUUGUUAUCAUCGUUAUCAUCUUAAGUUGUCGUUGUUCAAGAAAAAGAAGGCGAGAUCCUGAAGAAGGUCAACUCAUCAGUACAGAAGAAGAUGAGCGUGAAGUAGAACUGAUGCCAGGAUGCGGAUUUUGUUGCUGGCAGAAUCAGGG